rnacentral:rRNA from 1 species
GACAGAGGGUGCAAACGUUGUUCGGAAUUACUGGGCGUAAAGCGCGUGUAGGCUGCUCAGAAAGUCGGAUGUGAAAGCCCUGGGCUUAACCUAGGAAGUGCAUUCGAAACUUCUGAGCUAGAGUUCUGGAGAGGAAGGCGGAAUUCUCGGUGUAGAGGUGAAAUUCGUAGAUAUCGAGAGGAACACCGGUGGCGAAGGCGGCCUUCUGGACAGUGACUGACGCUGAGGCGCGACAGCGUGGGGAGCAAACAGG